rnacentral:rRNA from 1 species
UACAGAGGGGGCAAGCGUUGUUCGGAAUUACUGGGCGUAAAGGGCGCGUAGGCGGCCUGUUAAGUCGAACGUGAAAUCCCCGGGCUCAACCCGGGAACUGCGUCCGAUACUGGCAGGCUUGAAUCCGGGAGAGGGAUGCGGAAUUCCUGGUGUAGCGGUGAAAUGCGCAGAUAUCAGGAGGAACACCGAUGGCGAAGGCAGUGUUCUGGGCCAGUACUGACGCUGAGGAGCGAAAGCGUGGGGAGCAAACAGG